AUACAGCUGAUUAGUUCUAAAUAGGACGAAACAUGCGUCCUGGAU
rfam:Schistosoma curassoni strain Dakar, Senegal genome assembly, scaffold: SCTD_scaffold0000273